CAAGCCGGCCAGACGGUCGCGGGCGGUUCGCCGUCCGAGGAAAGUCCGGGCUCCGCAGAGCAGGGCGCUGGGUAACGCCCAGUCGGGGUGACCCGAAGGAGAGUGCCACAGAAAUGACACAGCCCCGGCCGGGCCGGGGCAACGGUGAAAUGGUGGGGUAAGAGCCCACCGGCGGCCGGGUGACCGGCCGGCCAGGUAAACCCCGCCCGGAGCAAGGCCGAACAGGGACCGGACGUCACGUCCGGAGGCGGCUCGCCUCAGUGUCCCGGGUCAGGCCGCUCGAGGCGCCGGGCAACCGGCGUCCCAGAUGGAUGACCGUCCUCCGCCUCCCGGGAGCGCGGCGCUCGCGCCGUGUAGCGGUGGUGGAGACAGAACCCGGCUUACCGGCCGGCUUGCACG
rnacentral:RNase_P_RNA from 1 species